AACAGGGCUUUAAGUCUAAAAUACCGAACUUGUCCUUUAAAGCAUUUUUAAACUUUAAAAACAUGUUGUUUGUCGUGACUCUACAUUGUAAUACUCACCCGGUUACAGUAAUUUGUGUAAUGUUGGACAUACGAUGAAACAACACGACAUUGAUACAGCAAUUUGACCUCACACUCAUUUUUAUCAGCAGAUUAGUGUGCUUUGAGUACACCACAGUUCUGUAAGUGAAAAAUUAAUUCAUAUUUAUGUGUGUUUCUUUCUCAGUAAGGACUAACUUUAACUGACUUUCUGUCUGUCUGUCUGUUCUCAACCAAACGGUCAUUCAAGACCUUUUAAAGCAAAAACAUUUCCCGUGCAAGUUUGAAUCUCUCUCAGUAAGGACUUAUUGACUGGCUGUCUGUUCUCGACCAAACGGUCAUUCUUACUCAUAAAAAACUUUUAAAGCACAAGUGUGUCCCGCGCAAGUUUGAAUUUCUCUCAGUAAGGACUGACGGAUGGCCAUUCACUCAUAAAACCUUUUAAAGGUUAGCACGAAUGCAUCCAGCAUAAUUUUGGAUCUUUACCAUUGAGGAGACUGGCUGACUGUUCUCAACCAACCAUCAUUCACACGCAAAAACUUUAAAGGUAAGUAUGAACGUGUCUAGAGCAGUUUUGGAUCUUUACCAUUGAGGAGGUUGACUGACUUUCAUCUACCAACUGUCAUUAACACAACAAAAACUAAAGAAAUGUUACUACAAGUGGACCUAUAUAGUUACUCAUUAUGCUGUGAGUACACCACAAUUUUAUCAGUGAAACAAUAAUGUUUGUUUUUUCUCAAUGCUUGGCAUAGACAAAUGUGACCCUGUGUAAUUUGGAAAUUUCAUGGGAAAUGUGUACGUCUUAAAAAUGUUUAAAUGUCGUUUGAGUUAAGGAACAGUACACCGAUUUAUUAAAAGUGUGCAAUACACUGAGUCUAUUAAAGUCAUAAAGGAAUACUUGAUAUAUUUCAUAAAGGAAUGUGUAAAUCUAAUAUUAGUUUUAAUGUGAAUUUGGACAGAAAAGCAAAAAAUCUUUUGUAAAAUAAACAAUUGUUUAAUAAACUGUAAUAAUUUUACCCUUUUCUGUCAUCAUUUUUUAUACUAAUGUUUGGUUUAAGGCAAUCGGUUUCCUCAAACGGUUUAAGUGGAGUUAACUUUUCGGGUUUUACAGUGUAACAACAAUGUACAAAAUCAAAAAGAGGAAAGCAUAUUUUAAAAACAAAAAAAUUAAUUGGAUCCCAUUAAAAUCCUCUACAAAUUAUCCUAAAGGAUAUUUUUGUCGUGUCUUAAAAUCCUUUAGAAAUAUCCUCUAAUAGAAUCCUAUAGGAUUUUUUCUAAUGGAAUCCCAUAGAUGUUUUGUAAUGGAAUCCUUUAGGAUUUUUCUAAUGGAAUCCUAUAAGAUUUUUCUAAUGGAAUCCUAUAAGAUUUUUCUAAUGGAAUCCUGUAGAAUUUUCUAAUGGAAUCCCAUAAGAUUUUUCUAAUGGAAUCCUAUAAGAAUUUUCUAAUGGAAUCCCAUAAGAUUUUUCUAAUGGAAUCCUGUAAGAUUUUUCUAAUGGAAUCCUAUAAGAUUUUUCUAAUGGAAUCCUAUAAGAUUUUUCUAAUGGAAUCCUAUAGGAUUUUUCUAAUGGAACGGUUCCAAAAUAUGAUAGAAAUUCUAAUUGGAUUCCUGUACAGGAUUCUUAUUAAAAAUCCUAUAGGAUUUUUUGACAAGGGUGGUGGACAGGCACACUUCUGCUGGCUUGAUGGUAUUCAUUUUCUUUUACAUAUUUGAUUUAAAGAUGUUUAAAAUGGUGCCAUAUCAUUAAAUUUCUCUGACAUGUCUGAAUGUUUAUAUUUGUAAUGGUCAUUUAUUAUUUUUAUCAUUUCAAUAUACAGGUGUAACUAAAUGGAGUACAAAGUCUGAGCCAUCCCAGGACCUUUAGAAAAUGUUUACACUUCAGCCAACACUGCAAUGAAGUGUACAAUAACUGCUUACCAGGUUAUGUUGGAAGAGGAAAACGAGGAGAGAUGCAAGGCUUUUACUCCGAAAACACCCAUCCAGGGGUUUGCAGUGAGUGGUGCAUGAUGCUACAGGAGGAAUAACUCUGUAUAACACAUCAGUUCUGUUCUGAAAGUCUUGUAAAUACCUCCAGGAUUGUUGUUCGUGAUUCUGAUUUCUGACAUCUACUAGGGAGUGCCCCUAAUAUUAUGUGUAUAUGUUUAUGAAGAAGUUUAUUUGUCUCAAAUCAUGCUCUUCUGCAAAUCAUGCACCAAAGGGUACUGUAUUUCUUAUGUUUUAUAUCUUAAGGACCACAAUGGAAAUAAGCCUAUGGGCUUUUUGUAUUUUUAUCCUUUUGAACACUUCAUGUUGAUUGUUGUUCAAUAAAGUAUUUAAUCAAUUCAA